rnacentral:rRNA from 1 species
GACGAACGCUGGCGGCGUGCCUAAUACAUGCCAGUAGAACGCUGAAGGAGGAGCUUGCUCUUCUGGAUGAGUUGCGAACGGGUGAGUAACGCGUAGGUAACCUGCCUGGUAGCGGGGGAUAACUAUUGGAAACGAUAGCUAAUACCGCAUAAGAGUAGAUGUUGCAUGACAUUUGCUUAAAAGGUGCAAUUGCAUCACUACCAGAUGGACCUGCGUUGUAUUAGCUAGUUGGUGGGGUAACGGCUCACCAAGGCGACGAUACAUAGCCGACCUGAGAGGGGGAUCGGCCACACUGGGACUGAGACACGGCCCAGACUCCUACGGGAGGCAGCAGUAGGGAAUCUUCGGCAAUGGACGGAAGUCUGACCGAGCAACGCCGCGUGAGGGAAGAAGGUUUUCGGAUCGUAAAGCUCUGUUGUAAGAGAAGAACGAGUGUGAGAGUGGAAAGUUCACACUGUGACGGUAUCUUACCAGAAAGGGACGGCUAACUACGUG